AUGACCAUCCUUUCAAAAAGAGCGGAUGAUCCAAGCCCCACCCUGAUGGGUAACCCAAGUCCCCAGAGCAGCUUGCCUGCCUUAGUAGCAGCUAUAAUUGAUGUGGGAUGUAGUGCCUGAGGUAUGCAGGAGAGUUUCGCCUGUUGAAGCAUGGAUCAGACAAACCUCUAGGUUUUUACAUUCGAGAUGGUAUAGUGUGGGGAGUAACACCACUGGCCUGGAGAGAGUGCCUGGUAUAUUUAUCUCUCGGUUAGUACCAGGUGGCUAGCAAGAAAACUGGCUGCUGCAUAAAUGAUGAAGUCCUGGAAGUUAAUGGAAUAGAGUUAAUGGAAAACAUUAGAUCAGGUGAAAAAUUUUAUGGUAGCCAACAGCAGUAAUCUGAUUAUAACAGUUAAACCUGCAAAUCAACGGACAUUAUCACACACACCACGUCGAGGUUCCUUCUCCCGCAACUCUGCCAUGUCCUCUGGAUCACAGCAGUCUCACCAGUCUGCCUCUGAUGAUGAUCGUUAUGACCAGGAUGAGAUACGAGACCUGACUGCGGCAGAUUCCCUUAGUGAUGCACCUCUUUCCCAUGCAUCACACCCAUCAAAGGAUGAAGGGGUCUUACAUCUUUAGUUGUAUGGAAGAUAUAUUUUAACUGCCAUUAAUAGUUUUGAUAGGUAACAUGGAUAAUGGUAAACAUUAAAAGAGUAUUUUUUAUAGAUAUCUGAAUCAUAUCAUCCUUUAUGUUGUGGGAUUAUUAUAUCCUCAUUUUUAUCAUUGUUUUAUUAAUAUUUAUGUAUAUAAUUUUUUAAUAUUUUCCCCACCUCCAUUUACUAUUUUAUGGGGCUCAUGUUUGCAUAAUGUAUUGUAAACACAUGAUUUAUUUUGGUGCAGUAUCAUAGUUGACCGUGUGGCCAACACCAGUCUUAGAUUGUGCAGAAUUUAUAUCCAUAUCUGUUAUAGCUCAUUAUUUUAGCCCACCGUUGAUGAUAAUGUUGUUUACAUUAAAAGCCAUACUGUUAGAAAUGCUACACCUUGUAAGGUGGAAGGUAGAACAAGUGCCUGUAAUUACAUUGCUAAUGUGUGUCUUUCCUGAUGCCUUUAAGGGUUAUAUAUUUGAGUAUGUUGAAGAAUAGAAUAUCAAGUAUGAAAAUCAUAAGGAAGUACGUACGAUAGUUGUCCACAGUUGAAUUUAUAGCGUAAAUGUGCCUUUCUUGCUGGAAUUUUAAUCAAACCUUACAACUUCAUUUUCCUAGUAAUCAGAUUGUAUAUCUUUUUAUAUUUAAUCUUUUUUAUUACAUUUUUAAUGUCAACAUCAGUACUUAGGCAGAAAAUGAGCAAGUUAUAUACAACAAAAAGAUUGGUAAUAUAGUCAGUAUCUUUUAAAUGGUUUGUACUGCUGAUUCUUCCACAUCAUUUAACUUGAUUGAAGGAUAUACUUACAUUCCCAGUUCAAAUCACCUAUAGUUUGAAGUUUCACUGUUGUAAGAAAAUAUACUUUUAUAAUCAAUUGUAAUUAGCUUUAACUUGAAACUAAGAGUUAUUUCCCUCUGUUGAUUGUAUAUACAUUAUGUGCAUAUGUUAUGUUUAAGGUAUAGAGGCCAGAAGUAGUACAUGGCUUCAGAUACUUUAAGUGUUUGGCAUGAAUAGUUAUGCUACUUCCCCACACCCAAUGGUUGUCACUUGUGUACAAUAUUAUAAUAUGUGAAUAACAUACAUUUGAGGGAUUUAGUGCACCUUGAAAGCCUCAAAUAAAGGCUCCCCAGAGCACUUGUGCUAUAUAGACCACAUUUCUGUGGACCAUUAUGUAUAUUAUUGAAAUUAUACAGUUUACACCUAGAUCAUAUUUUAUUACUUGUGAUAAAACUUUCAAGGAUAGGAUUGUGGGUCAGAGACCACUGUAUAGUGUAAAUGAUUGGUUGAUUGAUGUAAGAAUGAGUGAACAUCAGAAAUUGCAAGUAUAAUAAUAAUUAUGUUGGAGAAAGGCAUUGUUUGACAGUUUAUAUAGCAAGCAGCAUUGUGCAGCUUCUGAAUGUCCCACAUAUUUUCAGUAUGAUAAUUCUAAUUACAGUAUACAAGAAGUUCAGCUUUGAGAUACUUAGCCAGGUAACAUAAAGUAAAGCUGUAUUCCACAUUCCGUCCUGUAUUAAUUACAUAUAUGAUGCAAUAUUUUUUCAAGGACAUAUUUGCUUGUAAGAUGUUCUGUUGCUAAUGGUAUUGAGGAGAAAGGGAGAUUGCAUCUGGGUAAGUAGGUCAGUAAAGGUAUUAAGUAUUAAUGCUUUGGUGUUUUAGAUGAGAUGAUAGGGCCGUAAAAGCCAAUCUUUUAGUAAUGAAAUAUCAUAGAUUGUGAAUGUAAUUCUUUUCAUGUUUCAAGAAACUAAUUCUGACAUUUUUAAUAUAAUGGUAAAAACACACAAAGCUAAAUUGUUUUUGUUACAACAUUAUCAGGAUAAUUUAUAUUGAUAAAUGCAAUUAAAAUAUUGUUAUUCCAACACCCAAUAUUUCCUCAUGUGAAAAUGAUUCCUAAGUGGCAGCUUAGCAGCUUGCAUUUAAAUGCUAAAGAUUGUAAAAUAAGCCCAAUAUUUCUCCAGGUAAGGAAACUGUCCAGAAGUAACAGAACAACUUGAGGCUUGUGAAUCUUCUUGGCUCCACAGUUUCUUCAUGGCCAUGGAGGCUUUUUACCUGUCAGUUCUAUAACAACUUUGCAUGUAUACUUAUUCAGAUUAAAUUUAUUUUAUACAUACAAAUUUGUAUGGAUUAUAGCCUAUUAAAGUGAAACCAUUAA